AACGCAACUUGCGCUCCUUGGUAUUCCAUGGAGCAUGCCUGUUUGAGUGUCACGUAAACCCUCACCCUCGCGAUGUCAAAGUCGCGUCCGGUGGAUUUGGACCGUGCCGUAAUUGGCUCGUCCUGAAAUGCAUUAGCUUGUGCUCGUUAGAGUGCUCGGCAUGGUGUGAUAAUUAUCUGCGCCGUCUGCCUUAGGCCUCUUCUGUGUGCGCUGCUUCCAAUAGUCCCUCGUGGACAGCUAUUUUAAAGCUUUGGCCUCAAAUCAGGUAGGACUACCCGCUGAACUUAA
rnacentral:misc_RNA from 1 species